UAGCACGCGUAUCAUCACGAUUGUUUGCCUGUACAGAAGAAUGAUAAAUGUAUCAAAAUGAAAAAAGAAGCACCUGCUUUCGCUCUAUAAAAUGUGAAUGCGGCUAAGGCAACAUUCACGCAACGCUUGUGACAAGGUCGACAUGUAAUUCAUAUUUUUUACGCAACAGUAAAAAACCGAUUCAUCUUAUUCGUCCCUCGACCUAGAUACUCCUGGUGAGACGAUAGGAACGGUGCGCCAAUAUAAUGCAACGUUGCGCUUCAGGAAACUUCUUUCCCGCUAGAGAAACGUGAUAAGUAAAAGUGGAUGUUCAAUCAACUGUUGUGAAAUUAGAUAUAGGCUGUAACGGUAUCUAUCUAUGACUUUAAUCGUAUCACUGAGAAGUAUAGAAAGUUUUAUAUUUUUCUGAAUAUUUUCUUAAGGUUUGUGUAUACAUAUACGCAAUAUUUGAAAAAGUAAUUAUGUUAUAAUUAUAUGAUAGAAAUUAUAUAUCACAUAUUUUGUUCAAACUGAGCAGACCUAAAACGAAAAGUUAGCAUUACAUAGAACGAUUAUCGUCAUUGUUCGUUAUAUAAAGUGAGAUCGAGAUGGAGAAAUUGCAUUUAGGAUAAGAAUAUCAAGAAAUAAAACUUCAAAGUGACUUUAAGAGAGGAUAUCCAUGCUACAAAGAAUGAGCAGACGCUUUCGCGCUGAUCUCCUUUUGCAACAGACUUUCCAUGAGCCGAUUUAAAUGUAAUUAUCUUUCAAGUUGCGGAUCUCCAUAGGAUGUUUAGAUGAAAAUUUAAUAAAUAAAGAUUUUGACAUUUAUUUAGAAUAUAAGAUACUAAGUAAUACAAAAUGACAAAUGCAACGUAAUAUAUAUACACGAAUGGCGAAUGUUGUUCUAUUUCGGAGAUUUUUACGUACCACAUUUAAAGGAUUAAAUGCCACACCAUU